rfam:Aedes albopictus isolate Foshan contig65513, whole genome shotgun sequence.
UAACCUAGUGGUUAAGGCUGUGGAUCGCCAAUCCACAGAUAGUGGGUUCGAUUCCCGU